rnacentral:rRNA from 1 species
AGAUGGCGACCGGCGCACGGGUGAGUAACACGUAUCCAACCUGCCGAUAACUCGGGGAUAGCCUUUCGAAAGAAAGAUUAAUACCCGAUGGUAUAAUCAGACCGUAUGGUUUGAUUAUUAAAGAAUUUCGGUUAUCGAUGGGGAUGCGUUCCAUUAGGCAGUUGGUGAGGUAACGGCUCACCAAACCUUCGAUGGAUAGGGGUUCUGAGAGGAAGGUCCCCCACAUUGGAACUGAGACACGGUCCAA